rnacentral:sRNA from 1 species
AUUCAAAAAUCAAGUGAAAAAAAGGUGGUGAGUCAAUUGUUUCGGGUAAGAGACUGCACCCGAUGGUAGAAGAUAGGAGUAUUUCUACUCCUAAUACUGCUCACGAUAGUUUGUAGAUAAUCGAGUAGGACGAGAACUAAGCUCGGAACUGCAUUAUAGAAAGUAAGAGUUCACAAUCUUACAUCCUCUUGGUCAAUUGGGGCCCACGUGUCAUUGCA